GGGCCCAUAGCUCAGCUGGUUAGAGCACUUGACUCAUAAUCAAGGGGUCCCUGGUUCGAGCCCAGGUGGGCCCACCC
rnacentral:tRNA from 1 species